rnacentral:rRNA from 1 species
GAUGAACGCUGGCGGUGUGCCUAAUACAUGCAAGUCGAGCGAACAGACGAGGAGCUUACUCCUCUGACGUUAGCGGCGGACGGGUGAGUAACACGUGGAUAACCUACCUAUAAGACUGGGAUAACUUCGGGAAACCGGAGCUAAUACCGGAUAACAUGUUGAACCGCAUGGUUCAACAGUGAAAGACGGUCUUGCUGUCACUUAUAGAUGGAUCCGCGUCGCAUUAGCUAGUUGGUAAGGUAACGGCUUACCAAGGCAACGAUGCGUAGCCGACCUGAGAGGGUGAUCGGCCACACUGGAACUGAGACACGGUCCAGACUCCUACGGGAGGCAGCAGUAGGGAAUCUUCCGCAAUGGGCGAAAGCCUGACGGAGCAACGCCGCGUGAGUGAAGAAGGUCUUCGGAUCGUAAAACCCUGUUAUUAGGGAAGAACAAAUGUGUAAGUAACUAUGCACGUCUUGACGGUACCUAAUCAGAAAGCCACGGCUAACUACGUG